rnacentral:misc_RNA from 1 species
AACGCAUAUGGCACUCUCUGGCACUCCGGAGAGUAUGCCUGUUUCAGUAUCAUCGAGCACCAUCGAAAAAAAUCUCCCUUCGAUCCGUCCUCGCGCAGAGGGGGGCGAGAAGGGGACGUCUUUUUCGGAUCUGGGCCUUGCGAUGGGGAAUCUCGCCCCAGCGUUGGCCUAAAAUCGAAGCUCCCAUGGCCGGGCCAAAAAAAAGAAAAUGCUCUCUUUCCUUCCCUCUGCUCAGCAAAGGCGUCAUAGUUGGCCCCCGCGGUCAUCUUUCGCCGAUGUUUUGGGGUUAAAAAGGAGGGGGGGAGGAGGUGCGCGGGUGGCGGUUGGACCCGGCGGACCCGUCCUUCCUGCGUGCGGCAGGGUGGGGGCGGGCCCCGAAAAACCUUUCAACAUUUUGAUCUGAAAUCAGGCAGGACUACCCGCUGAACUUAA